CCACCUUCAGGGCCUGGGACUCUCGGAAGGUAUAGAAGCAAAAUUCCAGCAAGUCACUCACCAGCUGCAACACAGACAGAGAGGGGACGUGACACAGAGCUGUGCAGUGUGAGGGCAUCUACUGCAUCUCCAUGCAGCCUUCCACUGUCAUCCAUGCUCCACUGCAGGGGGAUUUUAAGAGACGAGUAAAAGCAUCAAGGACAACUCUGAGUCCCCUCGCCCAUCCAGCCAUUUCCCUCCUCUGUCACCCAAGGACCUUCUCAGCCUCCUGGAUCUGAACCACUUUUGUGAGGUGUCACCCUGGAGCAAUGAGCGGCGCAUGCAGAGGAACACAGCAGGUGGGCCCCUGCCCGGAGGAGCCAGAAAACCAAACAGCUCCUCAAGUGGCCUGCAAGCUCCUUGAAGACAGGAAGUACUGAUGCAGCCACACAGCACCUGGGAGAGGCCCUCCUGCUAGCUCUGGCUCCUGCCUUUCUCUGACUACCUGAGGUUUAAGGCUCCUUUCGAGCGUGUGGACCAGUCUCCGGUUUCCUUCGAUUGGACACCCUGCUCCACUGAGGCUUCUGCCUUCCAUCCCUGCAAGGUCCAUGGCCACAUCCGCACCGGCUGCCACAGGUGCUGCUCUCCCACUCGUCAUGCCCUCUGAGCUACACGACUUUACUUAGUGGAGCCCCUUGUUCAGAGUUUAUGAAGGACCUCAAGAUGGAGACAGCGGAACAGGAAGCUUAAGAGUGAGACCCUUCUACCAGUACGUGUGGGACGCUAAAGUGACACCUUGCCUCACCUACCAGCAGCCCAGGAGCUAACCAGGUGCAGGGCUGGCUAUGCACAGAUGCCUCUCACAGGUGCUGCGUCCUCUCCAUUCCUGCCUUCUGCUCCCGCCUCCCUUAGGAACCAGGGAAAAUGCACUUAAUCACUCCCUGCCUUAGUUCUUUUCUCCAUUAAAGGGUAAAAAAAGGAGUAAAUAUUAUUAUUCCUCUUUUAUAGAGAAAGGAAUUAAGAUGAGGUGAUGAAGUGUAAAUAGUAAUAUUUACUCAUCCUUACCACAUGGAGAUAUUAGAAGGAUUCAAUGAUGGGACUUAGGAAGAAAGGCACUAGGUAAACCCCAGGCAUUAUAUGGUUAUUUUAUAUUGUAAGAAGAGGGAUUUAGGCAGCAUAAGAGGGAGGGAUUUAUUGACACAGGUGUUAGACAAUGAGAUAGUUUUCCAAAAUCUUCCCUAGAUACAUUUCAGAUGAGAGAGAGAUUCCUAUGUGUCAGCUUAGAUUUAGAUGUGAUUUUCUAUGAGCGAGCUUCCAGGACCCUCAGUGCUUCUUUCUACAGGGUAUUUUUUCCCUCACAAAGCUCACCCUGUGGCAUCAUAAAUCCCAAAGAUUCAGGUGGGAAUGGAAUGCACAAUUCCUUUAUACCUCCCCAAACAAGGCCAGGUCCUAGUUUCCCCCACCAUUCUCAUAGAAAGUUAUUCUCUGACAGAUUUGAGAAACUGGCUAUGAACAAUGAAUGGCAACGUUCUGUAGAUGUGCAGUGUACGAAACAUUCAUUAAUAAUGAAGUCAAAGAAGUUAUAAGUUCAGAAGAGAAGAUUUUGACACUAAAACAAAAGUCACGAAAUGGGAGAAAAUGUUUGCAAAUCAUAUAUUAGAUAAGGAGUUAAUAUCCAGAACAUAUAUAAAAACAAAAAUAUGGGCCAAGAACUUGAGUAGACAAUUCUCCAAAGAUGACAUAUUCAGAUGGCCAGUAAACACAUGUAAAGAUAUUGAACACCACAAAUCUUAGGGAAAUGCAAACCAAACCACAUGUGCCACUAUCAAACAGCAGUUAACACUUGCAAUGCAAAAAUACAUCCACCCCUAGAAGCCCGACCACAGCUGCUUCUUU